rnacentral:rRNA from 1 species
CUUGGUCAUUUAGAGGAAGUAAAAGUCGUAACAAGGUUUCCGUAGGUGAACCUGCGGAAGGAUCAUUAUCGAAUUACCGGCGAGGGUUGUAGCUGGCCUUUCGGUGGCAUGUGCACACCCGAGCCUUUAAUCCCACACACACCUGUGAACCUAAUGUAAGGGCCCGUAACAGGGUCCCUUACGUCUCAUACAUCGACGCAUGUCUCAUAGAAUGUAAAUCCAUAUCCUCGCCUUUAAAAAAGCGUCGAUAAACUUAUACAACUUUCAACAACGGAUCUCUUGGCUCUCGCAUCGGUGAAGAACGCAGCGAAAUGCGAUAAGUAAUGUGAAUUGCAGAUUUUCAGUGAAUCAUCGAAUCUUUGAACGCACCUUGCGCUCCUUGGUAUUCCGAGGAGCAUGCCUGUUUGAGUGUCAUUAAAUUCUCAACUCCGAUCGAUUCGGUUCGACCUCGGGGCUUGGACUUGGAGUGUGCUGGCGCGAGUCGGCUCCUCUCAAAUGGAUCAGCGGAAUUCGGUCUUUGGCUUCCGGACAUCAGUGUGAUAAUCAUGUUGCGCUGUCGUUCGAGCCGUAGGGUCCGCUUACAAUGGUCUUCGGACAACUUUCAUCAAAUUUGACCUCAAAUCAGGUAGGACUACCCGCUGAACUUAAGCAUAUCAAUAAGCGGAGGAAAAGAAACUAACAAGGAUUCCCCUAGUAACUGCGAGUGAAGCGGGAAAAGCUCAAAUUUAAAAUCUGACGGUCUUUCGGCCGUCCGAGUUGUAAUCUGGAGAAGCGUUUUCCGCGUCGGACCGUGUACAAGUCUUCUGGAAGGGAGCGUCAUAGAGGGUGAGAAUCCCGUCUUUGACACGGACCACCGAUGCUUUUGUGAUGCGCUCUCGAAGAGUCGAGUUGUUUGGGAAUGCAGCUCAAAAUGGGUGGUAAAUUCCAUCUAAAGCUAAAUAUUGGCGAGAGACCGAUAGCGAACAAGUACCGUGAGGGAAAGAUGAAAAGCACUUUGGAAAGAGAGUUAAACAGUACGUGAAAUUGUUGAAAGGGAAACGUUUGAAGUCAGUCGCGUCGGCCGAGACUCAGCCUUGCUUCUGCUCGGUGCACUUCUCGGUUGACGGGUCAGCAUCAAUUUUGACCGUCGGAUAAAGGUCGAGGGAAUGUGGCAUCUCUCGGGAUGUGUUAUAGCCCUUGAUUCGGAUACGGCGAUUGGGAUUGAGGAACUCAGCGUGCCUUUAUGGUCGGGGUAUCAACCCACGUAACACGCUUAGGAUGCUGGCAUAAUGGCUUUAAGCGACCCGUCUUGAAACACGGACC